rnacentral:rRNA from 1 species
UAAGCGACUAAGCGUACACGGUGGAUGCCCUGGCAGUCAGAGGCGAUGAAGGACGUGCUAAUCUGCGAUAAGCGUCGGUAAGGUGAUAUGAACCGUUAUAACCGGCGAUUUCCGAAUGGGGAAACCCAGUGUGAUUCGUCACACUAUCAUUAACUGAAUCCAUAGGUUAAUGAGGCGAACCGGGGGAACUGAAACAUCUAAGUACCCCGAGGAAAAGAAAUCAACCGAGAUUCCCCCAGUAGCGGCGAGCGAACGGGGAGCAGCCCAGAGCCUGAAUCAGUGUGUGUGUUAGUGGAAGCGUCUGGAAAGGCGCGCGAUACAGGGUGACAGCCCCGUACACAAAAAUGCACAUGCUGUGAGCUCGAUGAGUAGGGCGGGACACGUGGUAUCCUGUCUGAAUAUGGGGGGACCAUCCUCCAAGGCUAAAUACUCCUGACUGACCGAUAGUGAACCAGUACCGUGAGGGAAAGGCGAAAAGAACCCCGGCGAGGGGAGUGAAAAAGAACCUGAAACCGUGUACGUACAAGCAGUGGGAGCACAGAGCAAUCUGUGUGACUGCGUACCUUUUGUAUAAUGGGUCAGCGACUUAUAUUCUGUAGCAAGGUUAACCGAAUAGGGGAGCCGAAGGGAAACCGAGUCUUAACUGGGCGUUAAGUUGCAGGGUAUAGACCCGAAACCCGGUGAUCUAGCCAUGGGCAGGUUGAAGGUUGGGUAACACUAACUGGAGGACCGAACCGACUAAUGUUGAAAAAUUAGCGGAUGACUUGUGGCUGGGGGUGAAAGGCCAAUCAAACCGGGAGAUAGCUGGUUCUCCCCGAAAGCUAUUUAGGUAGCGCCUCGUGAAUUCAUCUCCGGGGGUAGAGCACUGUUUCGGCAAGGGGGUCAUCCCGACUUACCAACCCGAUGCAAACUGCGAAUACCGGAGAAUGUUAUCACGGGAGACACACGGCGGGUGCUAACGUCCGUCGUGAAGAGGGAAACAACCCAGACCGCCAGCUAAGGUCCCAAAGUCAUGGUUAAGUGGGAAACGAUGUGGGAAGGCCCAGACAGCCAGGAUGUUGGCUUAGAAGCAGCCAUCAUUUAAGAAAGCGUAAUAGCUCACUGGUCGAGUCGGCCUGCGCGGAAGAUGUAACGGGGCUAAACCAUGCACCGAAGCUGCGGCAGCGACGCUGAUGCGUUGUUGGGUAGGGGAGCGUUCUGUAAGCCUGCGAAGGUGUGCUGUGAGGCAUGCUGGAGGUAUCAGAAGUGCGAAUGCUGACAUAAGUAACGAUAAAGCGGGUGAAAAGCCCGCUCGCCGGAAGACCAAGGGUUCCUGUCCAACGUUAAUCGGGGCAGGGUGAGUCGACCCCUAAGGCGAGGCCGAAAGGCGUAGUCGAUGGGAAACAGGUUAAUAUUCCUGUACUUGGUGUUACUGCGAAGGGGGGACGGAGAAGGCUAUGUUGGCCGGGCGACGGUUGUCCCGGUUUAAGCGUGUAGGCUGGUUUUCCAGGCAAAUCCGGAAAAUCAAGGCUGAGGCGUGAUGACGAGGCACUACGGUGCUGAAGCAACAAAUGCCCUGCUUCCAGGAAAAGCCUCUAAGCAUCAGGUAACAUCAAAUCGUACCCCAAACCGACACAGGUGGUCAGGUAGAGAAUACCAAGGCGCUUGAGAGAACUCGGGUGAAGGAACUAGGCAAAAUGGUGCCGUAACUUCGGGAGAAGGCACGCUGAUAUGUAGGUGAAGUCCCUCGCGGAUGGAGCUGAAAUCAGUCGAAGAUACCAGCUGGCUGCAACUGUUUAUUAAAAACACAGCACUGUGCAAACACGAAAGUGGACGUAUACGGUGUGACGCCUGCCCGGUGCCGGAAGGUUAAUUGAUGGGGUCAGCGCAAGCGAAGCUCUUGAUCGAAGCCCCGGUAAACGGCGGCCGUAACUAUAACGGUCCUAAGGUAGCGAAAUUCCUUGUCGGGUAAGUUCCGACCUGCACGAAUGGCGUAAUGAUGGCCAGGCUGUCUCCACCCGAGACUCAGUGAAAUUGAACUCGCUGUGAAGAUGCAGUGUACCCGCGGCAAGACGGAAAGACCCCGUGAACCUUUACUAUAGCUUGACACUGAACAUUGAGCCUGAUGUGUAGGAUAGGUGGGAGGCUUUGAAGUGUGGACGCCAGUCUGCAUGGGAGCCGGCCUUGAAAUACCACCCUUUAAUGUUUGAUGUUCUAACGUUGACCCGUAAUCCGGGUUGCGGACAGUGUCUGGUGGGUAGUUUGACUGGGGCGGUCUCCUCCUAAAGAGUAACGGAGGAGCACGAAGGUUGGCUAAUCCUGGUCGGACAUCAGGAGGUUAGUGCAAUGGCAUAAGCCAGCUUGACUGCGAGCGUGACGGCGCGAGCAGGUGCGAAAGCAGGUCAUAGUGAUCCGGUGGUUCUGAAUGGAAGGGCCAUCGCUCAACGGAUAAAAGGUACUCCGGGGAUAACAGGCUGAUACCGCCCAAGAGUUCAUAUCGACGGCGGUGUUUGGCACCUCGAUGUCGGCUCAUCACAUCCUGGGGCUGAAGUAGGUCCCAAGGGUAUGGCUGUUCGCCAUUUAAAGUGGUACGCGAGCUGGGUUUAGAACGUCGUGAGACAGUUCGGUCCCUAUCUGCCGUGGGCGCUGGAGAACUGAGGGGGGCUGCUCCUAGUACGAGAGGACCGGAGUGGACGCAUCACUGGUGUUCGGGUUGUCAUGCCAAUGGCACUGCCCGGUAGCUAAAUGCGGAAGAGAUAAGUGCUGAAAGCAUCUAAGCACGAAACUUGCCCCGAGAUGAGUUCUCCCUGACUCCUUGAGAGUCCUGAAGGAACGUUGAAGACGACGACGUUGAUAGGCCGGGUGUGUAAGCGCAGCGAUGCGUUGAGCUAACCGGUACUAAUGAACCGUGAGGCUUAACCU